rnacentral:lncRNA from 1 species
GCACCAGAAGAUAACAGUCACUUCAAAUGAGAUUGAAACUCCCUACCUGGCCUUUUGAUUAAUAGCCAGGUUUGGUGGCACGCGCCUGUAAUCCUAGCUACUCAGGAGGCUGAGGCAGGAGAAUCGCUUGAACCCGGGAUACUACUGGAAGUAGUCAUUAGCAUCUUUAAAUCUAAUCAGAUUAGAGAGUCAAUUCUGGGAACUCCAGAAGGAAUUCUGAAAACUCAUCCUUAAAAUUCUAUUCCUCUAGAAACACUCUCACUACCAAAAUCUCUGAAUAAAUGGCAUACAGAUUAGAAUGGAAAAAAUAAAACUGUGAUAGCAUUAAGAGAAAUACCUAAUGUAGGUGAUGGGUUGGUGAGUGCAGCAAACCACCGCGGCACAUGUAUACCUAUGUAACAAACCUGCAUGUCCUGCACAUGUAUCCCAGAACUUAAAGUAUAAUAAUAAUAAAAAAGGAAAUAUAAAAAAGAAAAAGAAUUGUCAUCAAUCUUGAAAAAUAAAACAAAAAGAAGACUGGCUGAAUAGUAUAGUUGAACUAUUCAUAGAAUUUUAAACAUGGAUAUGUCUAAUGAUUGUUUUUAAGUUGUUAACGUAAGCACAAUUUAAGCUCAUUUCCUCUUCUCAAAUUUGCAUUAGUUGGCCAAUCACACACACACACACACACACACACACACACACACACAGACUCACACACAUGAAAUAUGUGAAAUGGGUCUAUUUUUAAGAUAUGCUAACUGGUUGCCUGGAGGAAACUGGAACCAAGAUGGGAGCCUUUUUUAAUAGAAUAAAAUAGUUGAUUUUUUUUUGCCUUGGCCUAUUAC